rnacentral:rRNA from 1 species
CACGUAGGGUGCGAGCGUUGUCCGGAAUUAUUGGGCGUAAAGAGCUCGUAGGCGGUGUGUCGCGUCGGCCGUGAAAACCUGGGGCUCAACUCUGGGCGUGCGGUCGAUACGGGCAUGACUGGAGUUCGGCAGGGGAGACUGGAAUCCUGGUGUAGCGGUGAAAUGCGCAGAUAUCAGGAGGAACACCGAUGGCGAAGGCAGGUCUCUGGGCCACUACUGACGCUGGAGAAGCGGAAAAGCAUGGGGAGCGAACAGG